UACGUAGGGGGCAAGCGUUGUUCGGAAUUACUGGGCGUAAAGGGCGCGUAGGCGGCACAGCAAGUCGGGAGUGAAAGCCCGGGGCUCAACCCCGGAACGUCUUUCGAAACUGCUGAGCUCGAGUGCGGAAGAGGCAACUGGAAUUCCCAGUGUAGCGGUGAAAUGCGUAGAUAUUGGGAAGAACACCUGAGGCGAAGGCGGGUUGCUGGGCAGUUACUGACACUGAGGCGCGACAGCGUGGGGAGCAAACAGG
rnacentral:rRNA from 1 species